rnacentral:lncRNA from 1 species
ACUACCAAUAGAACACCAGAGCUUCAGAACCCCGAGAAGUUGUCAGCUAUCUUCCAGGACUUUUUGAACUGCUGUCUUGAGAUAGAUGUGGUGGAGAGAGGUUCAGCUAAAGAGCUACUUCAGCAUCAAUUCCUGAGGAUUGCCCAGCCUCUCCAGCCUGACUCCACUGAUUGCUACAGCAAAAGAGGCAAUGAAGAACAAUCACUGAAACCAUGCUCACCCCAGCCUCAAGUGCCAAGCCUUCUAUGAAAUGAACACUCAUUUCGGGAACUCUGACCCCUCGUGUCCUCUUCUCCUUUCCUUGCUUCUCCCAUUUCCCCAUCUAGUGCUCUCAAGUCUUUGAUCCUUGGGAACUGUCUAGCACUGAAGAGAACUGCAACUGGACGACUAAUCCAGCAAAGGCCAUUUCUAAAUAGGAAUUCCCUUCCAUGGAGGGGACUGAUGAGCAAGGGUUUACCUGAAUAAACCUGUUUCUACAAAACAGAAA